GACGAACGCUGGCGGCGUGCUUAACACAUGCAAGUCGUACGGUAAGGCCCUUUCGGGGGUACACAAGUGGCGAACGGGUGAGUAACACGUGAGUAACCUGCCCACAACUUUGGGAUAACGCUAGGAAACUGGUGCUAAUACUGGAUAUGUGCUCCUGCUGCAUGGUGGGGGUUGGAAAGCUCCGGCGGUUGUGGAUGGACUCGCGGCCUAUCAGCUUGUUGGUGGGGUAGUGGCCUACCAAGGCGGCGACGGGUAGCCGGCCUGAGAGGGUGACCGGCCACAUUGGGACUGAGAUACGGCCCAGACUCCUACGGGAGGCAGCAGUGGGGAAUAUUGCACAAUGGGCGCAAGCCUGAUGCAGCAACGCCGCGUGCGGGAUGACGGCCUUCGGGUUGUAAACCGCUUUCAGCAGGGACGAAGCUUUUUGUGACGGUACCUGCAGAAGAAGCACCGGCUAACUACGUG
rnacentral:rRNA from 1 species